CACACACACACACACACACACACUCAUAUCAUUCCUGCUUUAUUGCACGGCUCUCAGUGAGAGAUGCGCAAACGGAAACGCGGACGCGGCAUACGGUUACAGUGAGCUCUAACGGGAGAAAUACAGAAAGAGGGGCAAAAUAGUGAGCUGCCUAAACUGCAUUUGUAGGCUAGUGCAUAUGAUGCCCAAAUAUGCAGGCUAGGCAUUCAGCAUACUAGGUUUUGAGACACAGCCAGUGUGCUGGAGUUGAUUUCAGCGACGCUCAAAGCGCUGGAGCAGCGCGCUCUACAGUGCACGACUGAUAUACGGAACACCUUUACGAACCAACCUAAUUUGUUAUUUACCUCAUCGACGCGGUUCAAAAUGUGUCACUUUAGGAGGUGAUAUUUGAAGAGGAUCUGGCAACCUAAGGGCGUCUCUGUACGUAGUGACUCGAAUCUCAUUUGGCGUUCUGGGACCUGUUUGGACUCUCAUUCUGACGGCACCCAUUCACUGCAGAGGAGGAGCUUUUACGGGUUUGGAACGACAUGAGGGGCAUGAAGCAAGGGCUCCAUGACAUCACUGUCCCUGUGCUGAAAAAGAAUCUGGUCAUCUAGCACUGUAGGGGAACUCAAUCCAUGGCCUCACUAACAUGUGCAGCCAUUGACACUGACAUCAGACACAGCAGCGCCGGUGUCCAUGACAGCCACCGCGCCAUGGGAAUACAACAACCCGCUGAGCUCCAGUCAGCUUCCAAAAUUCCAAAAUCGAUGAAUUUAAUUUAACAUAAUAAUGCCAUAAUCAUACGUGUUCAUCUCAAGCCACGGAAACUAAUCCAACAACACCUUAUGUGCCAACUCCUCCGAGGGCAGAAUCUCCAUACACUGAAAGCAACUGUCUGGCUGAAGCAGCUGUCUGAGACUCUACGGUGAGAGAGAGAAUCAGACGUACUUUGUUGGAGCGGAGGGAGACGCGUCCUCCACAGCGCGCACAGAACUUGGUUUGGCAAUAAGAACAGACGCGGCCGCAGCCAUCGGCAAACUUGGUUUUGUGGCAG